rnacentral:rRNA from 1 species
AAUAGAUACCCCGGUAGUCCACGCCGUAAACGGUGGGCACUAGGUGUGGGCGACAUUCCACGUCGUCCGUGCCGCAGCUAACGCAUUAAGUGCCCCGCCUGGGGAGUACGGCCGCAAGGCUAAAACUCAAAGGAAUUGACGGGGGGCCCGCACAAGCGGCGGAGCAUGUGGCUUAAUUCGACGCAACGCGAAGAACCUUACCAAGGCUUGACAGUACACCGGAAAACCCUGGAGACAGGGUCCCCCUUGUGGUCGGUGUACAGGUGGUGCAUGGCUGUCGUCAGCUCGUGUCGUGAGAUGUUGGGUUAAGUCCCGCAACGAGCGCAACCCUUGUCCCGUGUUGCCAGCAGGCCCUUGUGGUGCUGGGGACUCACGGGAGACCGCCGGGGUCAACUCGGAGGAAGGUGGGGACGACGUCAAGUCAUCAUGCCCCUUAUGUCUUGGGCUGCACACGUGCUACAAUGGCCGGCACAAUGAGCUGCGAUACCGCGAGGUGGAGCGAAUCUCAAAAAGCCGGUCUCAGUUCGGAUUGGGGUCUGCAACUCCG